UUGGAGCCAGAUAUUGGAUGUAAUGAGUCAACAGAUGUUAGUGAUAAUGAGGAAGACAAGGAAGAAGAGUUGAAUAAAAAUAAUGCUGGCGAUGGGAUGGAAGAUGACAAUACAAUUACAUGUCAUAAUAAGGAUUCGCAUAACACCAGGACUGGAUGUGAACAUGCGUUAACAAUAAUAACAACUGGUAACCAGGAGGACAACAUGAGAAUUUCAC